rnacentral:rRNA from 1 species
UGAGGAAUAUUGCGCAAUGGGGGAAACCCUGACGCAGCAACGCCGCGUGGGUGAAGAAGGCUUUCGAGUUGUAAAGCCCUGUCAGACGGGAAGAACUCCCCGCAGGCUAAUAAUCUGUGGGACUGACGGUACCGUCGAAGGAAGCACCGGCUAACUCCGUGCCAGCAGCCGCGGUAAGACGGAGGGUGCAAGCGUUGUUCGGAAUCACUGGGCGUAAAGCGCGUGUAGGCGGCCUGAUAAGUCGAGUGUGAAAGUCCGAGGCUUAACCUCGGAAGUGCAUUCGAAACUGUCAGGCUUGAGUACGGGAGAGGGAAGCGGAAUUCCUGGUGUAGAGGUGAAAUUCGUAGAUAUCAGGAGGAACACCGGUGGCGAAGGCGGCUUCCUGGACCGAUACUGACGCUGAGACGCGAAAGCGUGGGGAGCAAACAGG